rnacentral:tRNA from 1 species
GGCUCCCUAGCCCAAUUGGUCGAGGCGAGGGUCUUAAAAAUCCUUCAGUGUCGGUUCGAAUCCGACGGGAGCCA